ensembl:lncRNA
GUCACUUCCAGGGGGGUGAGAAGCGGCAACAACAACGGCGGCGUUCCUCCAGCGAGGAGGUGGGCAGCCUCCAGCCCGAAUGGCCAGAGUACUGCCCAUGGGAGCUUAUCGCGCCAUGGGUCCAGGAUGUCCGCAGGGUGGACGACCCUUGGAGUCACCGGUGGGAGGACACGGAUGACGAAAGCGAUGAUGACGUGGAUUUUCGGUGGGCGGUCGGUGCCGGGAUGGCUCCGCCCAGCGUGCGCGUCCGAGAUCAUCGCGGCGUCCGUGAUGACCCAUGUGACUUCCGGGGGUACGAGGUUGACACGGACGACGACCAGGAUGACGCCAUUUGGGCAGUCGGUGCCGGGAUGGCUCCGCCCAUCGCGCCCAUCCAGGAGCGUCACGAGGUCCGUGGAGACCCACGUCCCUCCCAGCAGUGUGAGGAAAGCUGGUGGAAGAGGGCGACGGGAGGUCGCCAGCCAGCAACUGCGCUGCCGGGACUGCCUCGCAGGGAAUCCUCCAUUCCUGCUCCAGUCGCCGACCCGCCUUCCCUCUGCCCGGACGUUCCCCAGCAAAAUGGCAGCGCAGCACCAGCGUCCACACCUGCUGGAGAAGACGUCCACCCCCCUCCACACCACACACCUACCACCAUCUCCAGCGACGUGCCCAGCCCCGUGUGGGACCGCCCAAUUGUCCCGGGACCCUUCAGUGGGGCAGCAGACACAGACGAGAUCACUACCAUCCUCACGUGUCUGACUGGAUCAGCAUGGGGCUGGAGCACAACCCUCUGGCAGCAGGGAGAGACAGACAGGAGUUUUCGGGACUUCCAACAGAGACUGAGGGCGGAGUUUGAUCGGCCUGAGCCAGGGAUCGAACUCUGCCCCUCCACCACAUCCAGUGCCAGUCAGGAUCCGGGGCAAGAAGACCCAGCACUGGUGGGCGACGAGAAGGUCGCUCCUCCCGAGAUCCUGGCUGUGCCCCCUGAGGAGGUCCCGGAGAGCCCAGAGAGGGAGCCAGACGACCCUCUCUUCUGUCUGUCUCUGUCUGUGUGUGUCUGUGUGGCAUAUGUGUCCGUAUGUCGCCCCCACUUCCCCUCUUUGUGUCCACCAGAUGGCGACCCAGCCGCGGAGCCAAACCCCAGGGAGGAGGUUCCUGACCCGAAUGUGCUGGUCCAAGGCGAGGUGGACAAGCCCCAAGGUACCCCU